ACAUGAAUGACUCAGCGCAGUAUGAAGUCUUUGUUUUCUUCCGAAAACAAGCUCAAUGAGAGCCAUCGGGGGUAGAUCUAUCUCAUGACGAGUGGUGGAAUACUUUGACUCAUGAGAGAGAAGCUGAGGCGAAGGCGUCUACCUAGAGGGUUUCUGUCGAUCAAGGGCGAGAGUAGGAGUAUCCAACAGGAUUAGAGACCCUGGUAGUUCCUACCUUAAACGAUGCCGACAGGAGUUUGUCAUUUGUUAAUGGCAGAAUCUUUGGAGAAAUCAUAGUUCUUGGGCUCUGGGGGAACUACGACCGCAAGGCUGAAACUUGAAGGAAUUGACGGAAGGGCACACCAGGGGUGGAGCCUGUGGCUUAAUUUGAAUCAACACGGGGAAACUUACCAGGACCAGAUGUUUUUUAUGACUGACAGGCUUCGGGUCUUUCAGGAUAUUGUUUUUGGUGGUGCAUGGCCGUUGGUGGUGCGUGGGUUGACCUGUCUAGCGUUGAUUCAGCUAACGAGCGAGAUUAUCGCCAAUUAUUUACUUUGCCGAAGUCCUUCGGUUAAAGUUCUAAUUGGGACUCCCUGCGAUUUUAGCAGGUGGAAGAGGGUAGCAAUAACAGGUCCGUGAUGCCCUUUAGAUGCUCUGGGCUGCACGCGUGCUACAAUGUUAGGAUCAAUAGGACUGCGAGCCUGAGAGGGUGCGCUACUCUUAUAAUCCCUAACGUAGUUGGGAUUGACGUUUGUAAUCAGCGUCAUGAACCAGGAAUCCCUUGUAAAUGUGUGUCAACAACGCACGUUGAAUACGUCCCUGCCCUUUGUACACACCGCCCGUCGCUCCUACCGAUUGGAUGACUCGGUGAAAUCACCGGAUGCUUACGAGCAGAAAGUGAUUAAAUCACGUUAUCUAGAGGAAGGAGAAGUCGUAACAAGGUAACGGUAGGUGAACCUGCCGUUGGAUC
rnacentral:rRNA from 1 species